CGCGUAGGUGGUUUGUUAAGUUGGAUGUGAAAUCCCCGGGCUCAACCUGGGAACUGCAUUCAAAACUGACAAGCUAGAGUAUGGUAGAGGGUGGUGGAAUUUCCUGUGUAGCGGUGAAAUGCGUAGAUAUAGGAAGGAACACCAGUGGCGAAGGCGGCUCACUGGCUCGAUACUGACGCUGAGGUGCGAAAGCGUGGGGAGCAAACAGGAUUAGAUACCCCCGUA
rnacentral:rRNA from 1 species